rnacentral:rRNA from 1 species
GAUGAACGCUGGCGGCGUGCCUAAUACAUGCAAGUCGAGCGAACAGACGAGGAGCUUGCUCCUCUGACGUAGCGGCGGACGGGUGAGUAACACGUGGAUAACCUACCUAUAAAACCGGGAUAACCUCGGGAAACCGGAGCUAAUACCGGAUAAUAUAUUGAACCGCAUGGGUCCAUAGUGAAAGACGGUUUUGCUGUCACUUAUAGAUGGAUCCGCGCCGCAUUAGCUAGUUGGUAAGGUAACGGCUUACCAAGGCAACGAUGCGUAGCCGACCUGAGAGGGUGAUCGGCCACACUGGAACUGAGACACGGUCCAGACUCCUACGGGAGGCAGCAGUAGGGAAUCUUCCGCAAUGGGCGAAAGCCUGACGGAGCAACGCCGCGUGAGUGAUGAAGGUCUUCGGAUCGUAAAACUCUGUUAUUAGGGAAGAACAAAUGUGUAAGUAACUAUGCACGUCUUGACGGUACCUAAUCAGAAAGCCACGGCUAACUACGUG